AUAAAUCAAACUAAAAAAUCUAUAACUUAUAUAUAUCACCAGUAAUGUGUUAGAAAACAUAAGAAAAAGUACCAGACAUGUAAUUUUACAGAAAUACAUAAUUUUUAUCACAUUGUAUACAUUUUAAUUCAGUCUAUCUGUUUUUAUUUUCCUCAUUUUCUUUGCACUACCGUUCUUCCCUAUUCUACUGCAUUGAUGUCCCCAAAACCUCUUUAUUCCCAGGUAACCCUAUCAGCAACCUAAUAUAUAUGUUUCCAUAUUUUUCCAUACUCAUUGUAUUAGGCCUUUAUUGCUAAAUAAUGAUAGUGAUCAUCUGAACCUUUAGUGAGUUGAAAUCUUUUUGCUGUUAGACGGUUUUACCUCUUUGUUCUUGGCUGCUGACUAAUCAGGGUGGUUGUUACUCAAUUUGGGGGGUGGCUGUGCCAAUUUCUUAAAAUAAGACGAUGAAGUUUUCCACAUUGGUUUACUCUUCCUUUCACAAAGGAUUUUUCUGGUAACGCUGUUUGAUAGCAUUUUACCCAUACUAAAACUUUUUUCAAAAUUGUAGUCAGUCAUCUCAAACCCUGCUGCUGCUUAAUCAACCAAAUUUGUGUAAUAUUCUAAAUCUUUGUUGUCAUUUCAAAAAUGUUCACAGCACCUUCACUCGGAGUAGAUUUCAUCUCAAGAAACCACUUUCUUUGCUCAUCCAGAAAAAGCACCUCCUCCUCUGUUCAAACUGUAUCAUGAGAUUGCAGCAAUUCACCAUAUCUUCAGGCUCCACUUCUAAUUCUAUUUCUCUUGAGAUUCUCCAACCUCACUUUGAGGGGUUCAAAGACCUCAGUGGAGGAAGUAACUUUGCUGAUGGGAUUACUUCCUCCACUGAAGUCUUAAACCCCUCAAAGUCAUCCAUGAGGGUUAGAGACAACUUCUUCUAAACUCCUGUUAACGUUGCUAUUUUGACCUUUCGUGAAUCACAAGUGUUCUUCAUGGCAUCCAGGAUGAUGAAUUCUAUUCAGAAUUUUUCAAUUUGCUUGGUCAUAUUAAUGAGUGGAAUCACUAUCUAUGGCAGCUGUAUCCUUAUACAAUGCAUUUCUUAAAUCAUAAGACUUGGAAGUUGCAAUUACUCCUGGACUUAUGGGAUACAAAACGGAUGUUGUGUUAACAGGCUUGAAAACAACAUUGAUCUCCUUGUACAUCUCCUUCAUAGCUGUUGCAUGAUUGGAUGCAUUGUCAGUGAGCAGUAAUAUUUUGAAAGAAAUCUUUUUUAUGAGCAGUAAAAAAAAUCUUUUUUAUGAGCUUAAAAUAUUCAGUAAAACAUGCUAUAAACAAAUGUGCUGUCAUCCAGGCUUUGUUGUUCCAUUGAUAGAGCACAGACAGGGUCAAUUUAGCAUAAUUCUUAAGGGCCCUAGGAGUUUUGGAAUGGUAAAUGAACAUUGGCUUCAACUUCAAAUCACCAGCUACAUUAGCUGCUACAUUAUCUGUUAGCCUGUCCUUCAAAGGUUAGGAUGUUAGCCUGUGAAGCCAGAUAUUGGCUUCUCCUCUCUAGCUAUGAUAGUCCUAGAUGGCAUCAUCUUCCAAUAAAAGGCUAUUUUAUCUACAUUGAAAAUCUGUUUUUUAGUGUAGUCACCUUCAUCAAUUAUCUUAGGUAGGUCUUCUGAAUAACUUGCUGCAGCUUCUACAUCAGCACUUGCUACUAUAUCCUGCAAUUUUUUGUUAUGGAGAUGUUUUGUUAUAGAGAUGACUUCUUCCCUUAAUCCUCAUAAACAGACCUCUGCUAGCUUGAAACUUUUCCUCUGCAGCUUCCUCAUCUCUCUCAGCCUUCAUAGGAUUGAAGAGAGUUAGGGCCUUGCCCUGGAGUUUUUAAGGGAAUGUGGUGGCUGCUUUGAUAUCCUAUCCGGAUCGUUGAAACUUUCUCCAUAUCAGUAAUAAAAGCCUAUUUCACUUUCUUAUCAUUCAUGUGCUCACUGGAGUAGCACUUUUAAUGUUAUUCAAGAACUUUUUCUUUGCAUUCACAACUUGGCUAACUUUUUGGCACAAGUUGCCUAGCUUUCAGCCUGUCUCAGCUUUUGACAUGCCUCUCUAGCUUUUGAUUUAAAGUGAGAGAUGUGCAACUCUUUCUUUCAUUUGAACCACUUAGAGGCCAUUUUAGGGUUAUUAAUUGGCCUCAUUUCAAUAUUGUUGUUUCUCAGGUUAUAGAGAGGCCCAAGGAGAGGGAGAGAGAUGGAGGACUGACUCGUCAGUGGAGCAGUCAGAACGCACAUAUUUAUCAAUAAGUUCACUGUCUUAUAUGGGCAUGGUUCAUGGUGCCCCAAAACAAUUACAAUAGUAACAUUAAAGACCACUGAUCAUGGAUCACUAUAAAAAAUAUAAUAAUAAUGAAAAAGGUUGAAAUAGAGAAUUACCAAAAUGUGACACAGAGACAUGAAGUGAGCACAUGCUGUUGGAUAAAUGGUACCAAUAAACACAGCACGUUCUCACUCAUAGGUGGGAAUUGACCAAUGAGAACACAUGGACACAGAAAGGGGAACAUCACACUCUGGGGACUGUUGUGGGGUGGGGAGAGGAGGGAGGGAUAACAUUAGGAGAUAUACCUAAUGUUAAAUGACGAGUUAAUGGGUGCAGCACACCAACAUGGCACAUGUAUACAUAUGUAACAAACCUGCACAUUGUGCACAUGUACCCUAAAACUUAAAAUGUAAUAAUAAUAAAAUUUUAAAAAAAGAAUUGCUAGAUGCAGGGUUGCUACAAACCUUCAAUUUGUAAAGAAAACUCAGUAUUUGUGAAGUGCAGCAAAAUGAGCUAUGCCUGUAUUUAUCAUUGUUAUAUCUUUUUGGUGAAUUAAACUUUUAUCAUUAUACAAUGUACUCCUUUGUCUCUUAUAACAGUUGUUGACUUAAAGUAUAUUCCACCUGAUAUUAGUGUAGUUACCAUGCUCUGUUUUCGUAACCAUUUGCAUGGAAUAUCCUUUUCCAUCUUGUCAACUUUUAGCCUAUGUGUGCCCAUAGAUCUAAAAUGAGUAUCUUAUAGAGAAUAUAUAGUUUGAUCCUGUUUUUUAUCUGCUUAGCCAAUCUAUGUGUUUUGACUGGGGAGUUAAAUCCAUUUACACUUAUUUGCUCAUAGGAAAGGACUUGCUAUUGCCAUUUGUUAAUUGUUUUUUGUAUGUUAUAUUGCUUUUUCGUCCCCGAUUUCCUCUUUAACUUCCUUUGUGUUUCACUGAUAUUUUGUAGUGGCAUGCUUUUACUUCCUUCUCAUAUCUUUUUGUGUAUAUUCUAAAGAUUUUUUGUGUGUGGUUGCCAUUGCAAUUACAUAAAACAUUUUAAAGUUAUAGCAUUCUAUUUUAAACUGAUAGAAACUGUAAACUGAUAGAAACUUAAAGUUAUAGCAUUCUAUUUUAAACUGAUAAAACAUCUUAAAGUUAUAGCAUUCUAUUUUAAACUGACAGAAACUUUAAACUGAUAGAAACUUCAAUCACAUACUUAUUUACAGCUGCACCUCUCCAACUUCAUGUUAUUGAUGCCAAAAGUUAUAUCUUUAUAUAUUGUAUACCAUUAAUAAAAUAUAUAGUUAAAUUUAUAGUUUUUAAAUAUGUUUUUGUCAUUCAAAUUAUAUGCACCAAAAUUACAAGAACACAAGUUAUGUUAAUUGUCUGCAUUUACCUUUACUAGGGAACCUUAUAUUUUUCAAUGGCUUUCUGUUUCUUUCUACUUUCCUUUCUUUUCAACUUGAAGGGCCCUCUUCAGCAUUUCUUAUAGAGCAGGUCUAGUGGUAAUGAACUCUUUCAACUUUUGUUCACCUGAGAAAGUCUUAAUUUAUCUUUCAUUUUUGAGGGACAGUUUUGCUAGACCUGGUAUUCUUAGUUAACAGGUUUUUUUUUCUUUUAUUACUUUUAAUAUAUUAUGCUACUCCCCUCUGAUAUGAAAGGUUUCUUCUGAGAAAUCCACUGAUAAUUUUAUGACAGUUCCCUUGUAUAUGAUGAAUUGCUUCUCUCUUGCUGCUUUCAAGAUUCUCUCUUUGACUUUAAACAGUUUGAUUAUAAUGAAUGUUGGUGGGGUUCUUUUUUGGUUUUAUCCUAGUUGGAGUCUUUUGAGCUUGUCAAAUUUGUAUAUCCAUUUAUUUCUUUAGAUUUAGAAAGUUUUCAGCCAUUAUAUCCCUGCUCUUUUCUCCUUCUUAAAUUCUAUAAUGUGAAUAUUGGUCACUUGAUAGUGUCCUACAUUAGGCCAUUCUCACAUUUCUAUAAAAAUAUCUGAGACUAGGUAAUUUAUAAAGAAAAAAGGUUUAAUCAGCUCAUGGUUUGGCAGGCUAUACAGAAAGCAUGGUGGCAUCUGCUUCUGGGGAAGCCUCAGAAAACUUAUAAUUAUGGCAGAAGACAACGCAGGAACAGACAUCUUACAUGAAAGGAAUGGGACCGAGAGAGAAUGAGGAGGUGCUACACACUUUUAAACAACAAGAUCUCAUGAUAAUUCACUCACUCACUAUCAUGAGAAAAGUACCGAGAGGAUGGUGAUAAACC
rnacentral:lncRNA from 1 species